CCUACGGGUGGCAGCAGUGGGGAAUAUUGCACAAUGGGGGAAACCCUGAUGCAGCGACGCCGCGUGGGUGAAGAAGUACUUCGGUAUGUAAAGCUCUGUCAGCAGGGAAGAAGGUGACAGUACCUGACCAAGAAGCCCCGGCUAAUUACGUGCCAGCAGCCGCGGUAAUACGCAGGGGGCAAGCGUUAUCCGGAUUUACUGGGGGUAAAGGGAGCGUAGACGGGUUGGCAAGUCAGGAGUGAAAGCCCGGGGCCCAACCACGGGACUGCUUUGGAAACUGUGAGACUGGAGUGCAGGAGGGGUAGGCGGAAUUCCUGGUGUAGCGGUGAAAUGCGUAGAUAUUAGGAGGAACACCGGUGGCGAAGGCGGCUUACUGGACUGUAACUGACGUUGAGGCUCGAAAGCGUGGGGAGCAAACAGGAUUAGAUACCCGAGUAGUC
rnacentral:rRNA from 1 species